rnacentral:rRNA from 1 species
CCUACGGGUGGCUGCAGUGGGGAAUAUUGCACAAUGGGCGCAAGCCUGAUGCAGCCAUGCCGCGUGUGUGGAGAAGGCCUUCGGGUUGUAAAGCACUUUCAGCGGGGAGGAAGGCGGUGAGGUUAAUAACCUCAUCGAUUGACGUUACCCGCAGAAGAAGCACCGGCUAACUCCGUGCCAGCAGCCGCGGUAAUACGGAGGGUGCAAGCGUUAAUCGGAAUUACUGGGCGUAAAGCGCACGCAGGCGGUCUGUCAAGUCGGAUGUGAAAUCCCCGGGCUCAACCUGGGAACUGCAUUCGAAACUGGCAGGCUAGAGUCUUGUAGAGGGGGGUAGAAUUCCAGGUGUAGCGGUGAAAUGCGUAGAGAUCUGGAGGAAUACCGGUGGCGAAGGCGGCCCCCUGGACAAAGACUGACGCUCAGGUGCGAAAGCGUGGGGAGCAAACAGGAUUAGAUACCCCGGUAGUC